CCGCCGCCGCCGCCGGCUCGGUCCCGCGCCCGCCAUGGCCCGCCUGACGGAGAGCGAGGCGCGCCGGCAGCAGCAGCAGCUCCUGCAGCCGCGGCCCUCGCCCGUGGGCAGCAGCGGGCCCGAGCCCCCCGGGGGGCAGCCCGACGGCAUGAAGGACCUGGACGCCAUCAAACUCUUCGUGGGCCAGAUCCCGCGGCACCUGGACGAGAAGGACCUCAAGCCGCUCUUCGAGCAGUUCGGCCGCAUCUACGAGCUCACGGUGCUCAAAGACCCCUACACGGGGAUGCACAAAGGCUGUGCCUUCCUCACCUACUGUGCCAGGGAUUCCGCCAUCAAAGCUCAGACUGCCCUGCACGAGCAGAAGACCUUGCCCGGAAUGGCGCGGCCAAUCCAGGUGAAGCCUGCGGACAGUGAAAGCCGCGGAGGUAGGGACCGGAAGCUGUUCGUGGGGAUGCUGAACAAGCAGCAGUCGGAGGAGGACGUGCUGCGGCUGUUCCAGCCCUUCGGGGUCAUUGACGAGUGCACCGUGCUCCGGGGGCCUGACGGCAGCAGCAAAGGCUGUGCUUUCGUGAAGUUCUCCUCCCACACGGAGGCGCAGGCGGCCAUCCACGCCUUGCAUGGGAGCCAGACCAUGCCGGGAGCCUCCUCCAGCCUGGUGGUCAAGUUCGCCGACACGGACAAGGAGCGGACGCUCCGGCGCAUGCAGCAGAUGGUGGGCCAGCUGGGCAUCCUGACGCCAUCCCUCACACUGCCCUUCAGCCCCUACAGUGCCUACGCCCAGGCUCUCAUGCAACAGCAGACAACAGUCCUGUCCACCUCGGGCAGCUACCUGAGUCCCGGCGUGGCCUUCUCACCCUGUCACAUCCAGCAGAUAGGCGCCGUCAGCCUCAACGGGCUGCCUGCCACACCCAUCGCUCCUGCCUCUGGGCUGCACUCACCCCCGCUGCUGGGCACCACCGCCGUGCCUGGCCUCGUGGCUCCCAUCACCAAUGGCUUUGCAGGUGUCGUGCCCUUUCCAGGUGGGCACCCUGCCCUGGAAACCGUCUAUGCCAAUGGCCUUGUGCCCUACCCAGCUCAGAGCCCGACUGUGGCCGAGACACUGCAUCCUGCCUUCUCCGGAGUCCAGCAGUACACAGCCAUGUACCCCACCGCGGCCAUCACGCCCAUCGCGCACAGCGUCCCCCAGCCGCCGCCCCUCCUGCAGCAGCAGCAGCGAGAAGGAGUUUGGAGACACGGAGCUGACGCAGAUGUUCCUACCCUUCGGCAAUAUCAUUUCCUCCAAGGUGUUUAUGGAUCGAGCUACCAACCAGAGCAAGUGUUUCGGCUUCGUGAGCUUUGAUAACCCGGCCAGCGCCCAGGCAGCCAUCCAGGCCAUGAACGGCUUCCAGAUCGGCAUGAAGAGGCUCAAAGUCCAGCUGAAGCGGCCCAAAGACCCGGGACACCCCUACUGACCGCGCCCACAGCCGCCCUGAGGCUGUAGGCAUGGCCCAGGUGAGGGGCCUUCCCAUCCCAGGAGGGUUUUCUGCUUCCAACCGAUCCAGGACUUUCCCAUAAAUUCCAACCGUUCUUUGGACACCAGCCCUUUCCUCCCCUCUUCUCCCCUUGCCCUGCCCCUCUACUGGAGGCCACCUGGAGUGGCGAGGGGCCUUUGGGGUCUGUCCUGGGGCAGGGGCGGGGGGGGGGGAGGCUCCUGAAUCGGGGACAGAAGUGUUCACACGCCCCCUGCUUUGGGAAACGCUCUCGCUUCUUCCCCACAAAACUUGGUGACUUCCCCAAAC